rnacentral:lncRNA from 1 species
AUUUGUUCUCAUAGUAGUAACACUAAGCAGUAAGCCUUAAGAUCUUAAAUAUUAAAAUGUUAUUUAUAAGACAAAAUGUAGUAUUGAUACAAGGCAAAAUAUUGUAUGAACUCUUAAAUUGUGUUGAAUCAUUGUUUUGUAGGAAGUUCUGUUCUUGUAACGUGAGAGUGACGUAUUUAAAUUAUUCAUUAUUAUUUGAUUCAAUUAUUAUCAAUAUAUUUUGGUAAGUGAUAGAUUUUUCAAAAAACAGUUGAUUUGAUGGUGUUACAUUGAAAAUGUAGUCGCCGGAAUAUGUGUUUGAUAGUGUAUAUCUCAUAUUUAAGAAAAAACCAACAAAUACCCGAAAAAACCAAAAAAAAAAAAAACAACAAAAAUCAAAUCGAUAAAAUCGACUUAAUUGGUUUAGUUUGGUUCUAAUAUUUUAAAAACCGGCUUACUUAGUUUGGUUUCUUUUUUUUUAAUAAAAAAAUCGACUCAAAUCGAACUAUGAACACCCUAGUGAUGCCCCCGACAUAUUCAAAUACUGAAUCCGCUCUACUGAUGACUCAUUUUAUGUUCUUCACGUAAUGUUGGGAUCUACAAACUUAGUCGAGAAGGAGAAGCUAUAUAGUUUUCAAGAUGUUUAUCAUAGUUUAACCUACGGGUAUUUGACAUAUUUUUUUG